AUGGAGCGUGUUGAGGGGCUGAUGAGCAGCUUGAAGUUGUCUGAUUUGGAGAGCAAGGGUCGGAAGAUUGCAUGGAGUGGACGGGGGAAGAGGGGAGUAGUGGAACCACAGGCGCUUGCAAAGCUGAUGUCGGACAAACCGGCCUUUGCAGAUGGUAUGGUGAAUUCUUUGGGGAAGAUUUGGUGCCUGCUGAGGGGCGUGGAUUGCAAAAAUUUGGGAGACAAUAUUUUCAUGUUCACUUUUCAUCAGAAAUCAGGCCAAAGGAAAGCUCUGGAUGAUGGUCCAUGGAUGUUUGGGAACUCAUUACUAGUGCUGGAGGAGUAUGAUCCUAGUAAGAGCAUAAAGGAAUAUGAAUUUAAGAGGUUUCCGGUCUGGGUCCGGGUCUUUGAUCUGCCUUUGGGG
rnacentral:rRNA from 1 species